rnacentral:misc_RNA from 1 species
AACCUAGCACACCUGCGGUGUGUACCUGCGGAGGGAUCAUUACCGAGUUUACAACUCCCAAACCCCUGUGAACAUACCUAUACGUUGCCUCGGCGGAUCAGCCCGCGCCCUGUAAAAAGGGACGGCCCGCCCGAGGACCCUAAACUCUGUUUUUAGUGGAACUUCUGAGUAAAACAAACAAAUAAAUCAAAACUUUUAACAACGGAUCU